CCAUGGCUGUAGUGCUAAUAACUAUGAAAAAGAUUGUAGCUUCUAAGAGUAAUCUUAGUCGAAAAACUUUUCUAAACAGGGAAGCCUAAGUGUAUAAAACAUAAGGUAAUCUUGUGCUAAAUCAGUUUAUAAUAAACUGUAAAUGCCAAACGACUAACUGAAACCUACUUAUAAUAAUAAGGGAAGUAAGUGUACAACCAAGCGGUCAGGGUGUGAAGUAAUUAUUCUAUAAAUCCUUGCUAAGUGGAAAAGAAAAGAGUCCUUAAAUGGAUUAUGAUAUAGUCUGAACUAUAUGGAAACAUAUAG
rnacentral:ncRNA from 1 species